rnacentral:rRNA from 1 species
AUUGAACGCUGGCGGCAUGCCUUACACAUGCAAGUCGAACGGCAGCACGGGUGCUUGCACCUGGUGGCGAGUGGCGAACGGGUGAGUAAUAUAUCGGAACGUACCUUAUUGUGGGGGACAACCCAGCGAAAGCUGUGCUAAUACCGCAUAAUCCCUAAGGGGGAAAGCGGGGGACCGUAAGGCCUCGCGCAAUUAGAGCGGCCGAUACCUGAUUAGCUAGUUGGUGAGGUAAAGGCUAACCAAGGCAACGAUCAGUAGCUGGUCUGAGAGGACGAUCAGCCACACUGGGACUGAGACACGGCCCAGACUCCUACGGGAGGCAGCAGUGGGGAAUUUUGGACAAUGGGGGCAACCCUGAUCCAGCAAUGCCGCGUGAGUGAAGAAGGCCUUCGGGUUGUAAAGCUCUUUUGUCAGGGAAGAAACAGCAGCUCUAACACAGUUUGCGAAUGACGGUACCUGAAGAAUAAGCACCGGCUAACUACGUGCCAGCCGCCGCUGUAA